GGCAACCCGAUGUCGAUCUCGCUCAUGUAGAGGAACCCCCGGUCGGCCCGCAUGACCACAUAGUCGUGGCUCAGCACGAGGAAGCACCCGGCGGCGGCGGCGUGGCCGGUGACGGCGGCGAUGGUGGGCAUGGGGAGGGAGAGGAGGUCGGCGAUGGUGCGUUGCAGAGCGGGGACCAUCAGCGGGACGCGGUCGGAGGGGGAGACCCUGGCCCAGGCGAGGUCGAAGCCGUUGGAGAAGAACUUGCCCUCGGCGGCGACGACGAGGGCGGCGGAUCCGCCCGACGCCGCGGCGUCUGAGCGGACGCCGGCGAGGGCGGAGCGGAUGGCGUCGAGGAGGGCGGGGUUGAGGCGGUGCUCGUCGGUGCCGGCGAGGGUGAGGAGGUACAC
rnacentral:lncRNA from 1 species